GUUGAUGUAGCUUAAA
rnacentral:tRNA from 1 species